GGUUAAGUGACUAAGCGUACACGGUGGAUGCCUUGGCAGUCAGAGGCGAUGAAAGACGUAGUAACUUGCGAUAAGCCCAGAUUAGGUAGUAACAACCAUUUGAGUCUGGGAUUUCUGAAUGGGGAAACCCACGUGCAUAAGCACGUAUCCUUACCUGAAUACAUAGGGUAAGGAGGCGAACCGGGGGAACUGAAACAUCUAAGUACCCCGAGGAAAAGAAAUCAACCGAGAUUCCGAAAGUAGCGGCGAGCGAAAUUGGACUAGCCCUUAAGCUUUACACGCGUUAGACGAACGGUCUGGAAAGUCCGACGAUACAGGGUGAUAGUCCCGUAGUUGACGACGUGUGUUCAGUGAAAUCGAGUAGGGCGGGACACGUGAUAUCCUGUCUGAAUAUGGGGGGACCAUCCUCCAAGGCUAAAUACUACUGACUGACCGAUAGUGAACCAGUACCGUGAGGGAAAGGCGAAAAGAACCCCUGUGAGGGGAGUGAAAUAGAACCUGAAACCGUGUACGUACAAGCAGUAGGAGCAGGCUUUGUCCUGUGACUGCGUACCUUUUGUAUAAUGGGUCAGCGACUUAUAUUCAGUGGCAAGGUUAACCAUCUAGGGGAGCCGUAGGGAAACCGAGUCUUAACUGGGCGUUCAGUCUCUGGAUAUAGACCCGAAACCAGGUGAUCUAGCCAUGGGCAGGUUGAAGGUUGAGUAACAUCAACUGGAGGACCGAACCGACUAAUGUUGAAAAAUUAGCGGAUGACUUGUGGCUAGGGGUGAAAGGCCAAUCAAACCUGGAGAUAGCUGGUUCUCCCCGAAAGCUAUUUAGGUAGCGCCUCGGACGAAUACUACUGGGGGUAGAGCACUGUUAAGGCUAGGGGGUCAUCCCGACUUACCAACCCUUUGCAAACUCCGAAUACCAGUAAGUACUAUCCGGGAGACACACGGCGGGUGCUAACGUCCGUCGUGGAGAGGGAAACAACCCAGACCGCCAGCUAAGGUCCCAAAUUACUACUAAGUGGGAAACGAUGUGGGAAGGCUCAGACAGCCAGGAUGUUGGCUUAGAAGCAGCCAUCAUUUAAAGAAAGCGUAAUAGCUCACUGGUCGAGUCGGCCUGCGCGGAAGAUGUAACGGGGCUAAGUAGUAAACCGAAGCUGCGGCAAUAUACUUUUGUAUAUUGGGUAGGGGAGCGUUCUGUAAGCGGUUGAAGGUGUGUGGUAACGCAUGCUGGACGUAUCAGAAGUGCGAAUGCUGACAUGAGUAACGAUAAAGGGGGUGAAAAACCUCCUCGCCGGAAGACCAAGGGUUCCUGUCCAACGUUAAUCGGGGCAGGGUAAGUCGACCCCUAAGGCGAGGCCGAAAGGCGUAGUCGAUGGGAAACGGGUUAAUAUUCCCGUACUUCUUACAAUUGCGAUGGGGGGACGGAGAAGGCUAGGUGGGCCUGGCGACGGUUGUCCAGGUUCAAGUGCGUAGGCUUAAGAGUUAGGUAAAUCCGGCUCUUUUUAAGGCUGAGACACGACGUCGAGCACCUACGGGUGUGAAGUCAUUGAUGCCAUGCUUCCAGGAAAAGCCUCUAAGCUUCAGAUUGUAAGGAAUCGUACCCCAAACCGACACAGGUGGUCGGGUAGAGAAUACCAAGGCGCUUGAGAGAACUCGGGUGAAGGAACUAGGCAAAAUGGUACCGUAACUUCGGGAGAAGGUACGCUCUCGACGGUGAAGUCCCUCGCGGAUGGAGCUAUUGAGAGUCGCAGAUACCAGGUGGCUGCAACUGUUUAUUAAAAACACAGCACUGUGCAAAAUCGUAAGAUGACGUAUACGGUGUGACGCCUGCCCGGUGCCGGAAGGUUAAUUGAUGGGGUUAGACUUCGGUCGAAGCUCUUGAUCGAAGCCCCGGUAAACGGCGGCCGUAACUAUAACGGUCCUAAGGUAGCGAAAUUCCUUGUCGGGUAAGUUCCGACCUGCACGAAUGGCGUAAUGAUGGCCACGCUGUCUCCACCCGAGACUCAGUGAAAUUGAAAUCGCUGUGAAGAUGCAGUGUACCCGCGGCUAGACGGAAAGACCCCGUGAACCUUUACUACAGCUUGGCACUGAACAUUGACCCUACAUGUGUAGGAUAGGUGGGAGGCUUUGAAGCACGUACGCCAGUAUGUGUGGAGCCGUCCUUGAAAUACCACCCUUGUAGUGUUGAUGUUCUAACGUCGACCCCUUAUCGGGGUUGCGGACAGUGCCUGGUGGGUAGUUUGACUGGGGCGGUCUCCUCCCAAAGAGUAACGGAGGAGCACGAAGGUGGGCUAAUCACGGUUGGACAUCGUGAGGUUAGUGCAAUGGCAUAAGCCCGCUUGACUGCGAGAAUGACAAUUCGAGCAGGUGCGAAAGCAGGUCAUAGUGAUCCGGUGGUUCUGAAUGGAAGGGCCAUCGCUCAACGGAUAAAAGGUACUCCGGGGAUAACAGGCUGAUACCGCCCAAGAGUUCAUAUCGACGGCGGUGUUUGGCACCUCGAUGUCGGCUCAUCACAUCCUGGGGCUGAAGUCGGUCCCAAGGGUAUGGCUGUUCGCCAUUUAAAGUGGUACGCGAGCUGGGUUUAGAACGUCGUGAGACAGUUCGGUCCCUAUCUGCCGUGGGCGUUGGAAGAUUGAAGGGGGCUGCUCCUAGUACGAGAGGACCGGAGUGGACGAACCUCUGGUGUUCGGGUUGUGUCGCCAGACGCAUUGCCCGGUAGCUAAGUUCGGAAUCGAUAACCGCUGAAAGCAUCUAAGCGGGAAGCGAGCCCUGAGAUGAGUCUUCCCUGAUACUUUAAGUAUCCUAAAGGGUUGUCGGAGACUACGACGUUGAUAGGUCAGGUGUGUAAGUGCUGUGAGGCAUUGAGCUAACUGAUACUAAUUGCCCGUGAGGCUUAACCAU
rnacentral:rRNA from 1 species